GUUAAUAAGUAAUCUGGAUGUAGAUUCAGAGCAGGUCUCUCUGAAGGGGAAGCCAUGACUGUCACCAAAAGUGAGCUUGGCUUUUGAAAGUGACAUACGUAUGGGAAAUGUUCUUCCACUUGGAAAAAUUUAUCAUGGCCCUGUCCUUUGUCAAAAGGGUUAUUUUGUAUCCUUGUCCCACAGCCCCUGGACUGUGGAAGUUUCUAGCCGGCAUGAGAGCAGCUACAGCCUCUGACUGUCAGCAACAAUGUAUUACUCUGGAUUAUUCCCAGUAGAAAGCGCAGAAUUGAUGCCAGAAAG